rnacentral:rRNA from 1 species
UACAGAGGGGGCAAGCGUUGUUCGGAAUUACUGGGCGUAAAGGGCGCGUAGGCGGCUAGGCAAGUCAGGUGUGAAAGCCCCGGGCUUAACCCGGGAAUUGCAUCUGAAACUGCUGUGCUUGAGUUCUGGAGGGGGUAGUGGAAUUCCCAGUGUAGCGGUGAAAUGCGUAGAUAUUGGGAGGAACACCAGUGGCGAAGGCGACUACCUGGCCUGUUCUUGACGCUGAGGCGCGAAAGCUAGGGGAGCAAACGGGG